rnacentral:rRNA from 1 species
GACGAACGCUGGCGGCGUGCCUAAUACAUGCAAGUAGAACGCAGUUGCGAACGGGUGUGUAUCGCGUAGGUAACCUGCCUCAUAGCGGGGGAUAACUAUUUGGAACGAUAGCUAAUACCGCAUACUGUGAGAUGGACCUGCGUUGUAUUAGCUAGUUGGUGAGGUAAAGGCUCACCAAGGCGACGAUACAUAGCCGGCCUGAGAGGGAGAACCACCACACCGGGAAUGGGGAACGGCCCAGACUCCUACGGGGGGCAGCAGGAGGGAAUUUUCGGAAAAUGACUGAAGGCUGAACGAGCAACGCCGCCGUAGUGGAGAAGGUUUUCGGGUCGUAAAGGUCCUUUGUUAGGGAAGCGGUAACUGACCAGAAAGGGACGGCUAACUACGUGCCAGCAGCCGCGGUAAUAC